UACAGAGGUCUCAAGCGUUGUUCGGAUUCAUUGGGCGUAAAGGGUGCGUAGGCGGCGCGGUAAGUCGGGUGUGAAAUCUCGGAGCUUAACUCCGAAACUGCAUUCGAUACUGCCGUGCUUUGAGGACUGGAGAGGAGACUGGAAUUUACGGUGUAGCGGUGAAAUGCGUAGAUAUCGUAAGGAAGACCAGUGGCGAAGGCGGGUCUCUGGACAGUUCCUGACGUGAGGCACGAAGGCCAGGGGAGCAAAACGGGG
rnacentral:rRNA from 1 species